GUUGGAACCCACCAACUGCAAGAUCAUGACCUGAGCUGAAAUCAAGAGUCGGUGGACACAACCGAGCCACCCAGGAAGGUGCCCCCCCCCCUUGGUAUCUUGAAUUUUUUUUGCAAUGAGCAUAUAUUACCUUUUAGAAAAAGGAAAAAAUGGACUCUUCACCUCAAAACUGUAUUGUUUCCUUCAUCUGUAAGCAUGCACUGCAAUGAGUCAGUUUGCUAUGAACAGAAUUCUACUCUUUAAAUGGACACAAGGAACACAAGAGACUCCCAAGCAGCCCGUGCAGAGCCCAAUGCUGGGGCUCGACUUCACAAAACCGCAAGAUCAUGACCUGAGCCGAAACCAAGAGUCGGUUGCUUAACCAACCGAGCCACCCAGGCGUCCCAAGUAUGUACUCUUCUUCUUUCUAAAAUUCAGGAGACUUUUGUAUAAACCUCAGAUGUGAA